rnacentral:rRNA from 1 species
GGGUUGUGAGGUUAAGCGACUAAGCGUACACGGUGGAUGCCCUGGCAGUCAGAGGCGAUGAAGGACGUGCUAAUCUGCGAUAAGCGCCGGUAAGGUGAUAUGAACCGUUAUAACCGGCGAUUUCCGAAUGGGGAAACCCAGUGUGACUCGUCACACUAUCAUUAACUGAAUCCAUAGGUUAAUGAGGCGAACCGG